rnacentral:tRNA from 1 species
CGGGAUUUAGUUUAUAAAGAACAUUUUACUUACACUAAAACAGAAUGUAUUUAAUCCUGU